CAUCUUGGUUACACAUUGCUGAAUGCAAUGUGGUUUCAGAGCACACCUAAUUAACCUAAUUAGCCAGUGAACCUUUGACAAUUAGCAGACUACAUCCUCAAAGUGAGCGUUUUAAAGUUAAACAGUGAGACUUAAUUGAUAAACAUGGCCUUCAAGUUAGCUUGAGUUUAGUUGGCUAGCUAGCUAACGUUUUGCAUUAAAGCUUAAUUUUCUUUCUUUUUUUUUUUUUUUUUGCAGCGUGGUUUCUUAAAAAUGAUAAACAACCAAAUUCCACACAGCAAAUGUUAGCCAUGUGAAAUGUUAAGAGCAGUGGGGGAAAUUUCCUCCAUGUGAUGUUUAGCUUCAUAAAUAAGUGAACUUGAUGUUUUUUGGUGGUUUUAUUGCUGUUUACAGAGGGUGAGGUUGUGGGGAGGCUGCCCCAUGUGCUCGUCUGUGUGGAGUGUCUCUGCUCUCUGGAGUGUCCUCAGGACUCCAACUCUGUCCCCUCAGUCAGCUGUCCCGAGUGUAGGACAGCGAUAAAGAGGGCAGGACCUGGUCAGACCUCCAGUCAGACGUGGAAGUGUCUGGGUAAAGACCACCAAGAGAUGCUGCAGAACUGGCAGCCGAUGGACGAUAUGCCGUGUGAGCGUAUUCUUCUGCUUUCUGAUUAACUUUCUUUGCCAUGCUGAGGGAGGUGUUGACUAAAUUAGAGAUGGUGCUGGACCAACAAACCACUGAGAUUGCUUCAACUACAGGAGGUCCAGCUGCAGCCUUUGGAUAUUGAUGAAGAUUUACUGCCCUGCAAGACCUUCCUCAACUGCGUAGUCUGGAGCGAAGGAUGCAACAGAGCCCAGAUUACAAGCAAGAUCUGUUCAUAGAAACCUCUUUACGCCUAAAGCUGCAGCGAUGGAGGUCGAGGGGACCAUGAAGAGGUGGCUCCAGCUGGCAUCAGAUCAAGAGUGUGGGUGCAAGAGAAGUCUUUUGCAAAAAGAAGCUACCAGGAAUCCUGAAGAAGGACUAGCGCAUUGGAGCGGUCGUGCUGCACGUGGGGGCAAACAUCAGGCUGUGGCAGGCGGAGGUUCUGAAGAGGGACUUCUCCAGCCUGAUCGAGACGGUACGAGGCAGAUCACCCACCGCGAAGAUCAUCGUCUCUGGACCUCUUCCCUCAUACAGAGGUGGAGCUGAAAGGCUCAGUAGACUUCUUGCUUUGAAUGACUGGUUAGUUUCUUGGUGUAAUGAACAGAAUCUGCUGUUUGUUAAUAACUGGAAUCUGUUCUGGGAUCAGAACUGCUGUCAGACAACAUCUCCAAGACGCUACAGACCAAGUGACUGUCUACCGUCAAAUUAUUCAUAAACAUGGAAUGAAUUUCCACUGUUAUGCUGAUGAUACAGAGCUGUAUGUUUGCAACUGAACAAUAACAACAAUAAACAACAACUGAAGAAUAGCGAAAAACUUCUGUUUUGUAAGUCAACUGUUUUGUAAGUCAAACUUUUUAAUGUUCACCUGGAAUUUGACUCCUAUGUGACUAAAUGAUGGAAUUGUAUCUUAUGUUGGACCAUGUAUUCCAGAGAUUUUUUAUUUGAAUUUCUUGUAGCGUGCUUACUUGAAGACGAUGAGGCAGAGCAGCAUCGGAGAGACAGUUCGCUCCAUUCUCCAAAGAAUCGGGGAGAACAGUCUGUAAUGUAUGUUUUUGUUGAAAGUGUCAAAAGGUGGGAAGCUGGCUUUGACUGAUCAGGAUGAAGUGUAUGGCCUUGUACACUAUAUUGCCGAACAAGCACAUGGACGUGAAUAUACUGUUGCCGGUUGCAGAGAGGCCAUCGGCAGCUACCUAAAAAAUGCCCCAGGCAGGAAAAGUGGCAAGAAACAUAUUAUGAGUGUUUAUGAUGAAGCAGAGCUACGUGGGAUCUCCAGUGCGUCCUGCAAGAAUUGGGCCUGAGUCCAGUUCAGAUUCAAUUUUGUAAUCUCAUUCCUCUCCCUUGCGUGACAGCCUCCAAACAGUACAAUUCUAAUGAGCUUGAAUAUACGGGGAAUUCCAUUGGGUUUGAUGUCUGACUAAUUAAAGACCCACCUCUUCUAUGAACACCUAACCAACUCAUAAUAAAAAAAAAAUAUAUAAAAAAAAAAUGCACUUACACCUCUAGUCUGCACUUUGCUUCUUCUAGAAUUCAAUGAAUAGAUCUUGUAUGGUAGCUGCUCUUGUAUUGUUCUCUGCUUGAUAUAUCGCUUUGCUUGUAUCUUUCUUAUUUGUAAGUCGCUUUGGAUAAAAGCGUCUGCUAAGUGAAUGUAAUGUAAAUGUAAUAAAUUGUUUUCUUUGAUUAGCAAUACAUAGGUACUAUAUCUGGCUGUUUUGUGUGUUACAAUAUUGAAUGUCAUUUUUCAGCUAUUCACUUUGUCUGCAUUUACUAAAAUUCAUGCAUGUUUAUUAAAAAUAUUCACGGAGUUUGUUAAACUAUAUAAUUGUUGUCUAUCAUUCAUAAGAUUCGUCAUGGGAAUUCCAUAGACCAGAAUCUAACAUCCACAUUAUUGAAGCAUUGUUUAA